rnacentral:rRNA from 1 species
GACGAAGGAUGCAAGCGUUAUCCGGAUUCAUUGGGUUUAAAGGGCGCGUAGGUGGCCUUAUAAGUCAGUGGUGAAAUCUCUCAGCUUAACUGAGAAAUUGCCAUUGAUACUGUAGGGCUUGAGUACAGAUGCCGUUGGCGGAAUAUGACAUGUAGUGGUGAAAUACAUAGAGAUGUCAUAGAACACCGAUUGCGAAGGCAGCUGACGAAACUGUAACUGACACUGAGGCUCGAAAGUGCGGGGAUCAAACAGG